AAGGAACGUUUAAGACUAAGACGUUGAUAGGCUGGGUGUGUAAGUGCAGCGAUGCAUUGAGCUAACCAGUACUAAUGAUCCGUGAGGCUUAACCUU
rnacentral:rRNA from 1 species